UACGUAGGGGGCAAGCGUUGUCCGGAUUCAUUGGGCGUAAAGAGCGUGUAGGCGGCCAGGUAGGUCGGUUGUGAAAACUGGAGGCUUAACCUCCAGCUGUCGAUGGAAACCAUCUGGCUAGAGUCCGGAAGAGGAGAGUGGAAUUCCUGGUGUAGCGGUGAAAUGCGCAGAUAUCAGGAAGAACACCCGUGGCGAAGGCGGCUCUCUGGGACGGUACUGACGCUGAGACGCGAAAGCGUGGGGAGCGAACAGG
rnacentral:rRNA from 1 species